rnacentral:rRNA from 1 species
AUUGAACGCUGGCGGCAGGCCUAACACAUGCAAGUCGAACGAGUGGCGGACGGGUGAGUAAUGUCUGGGAAACUGCCUGAUGGAGGGGGAUAACUACUGGAAACGGUAGCUCAUACCGCAUACCAUCAGAUGUGCCCAAAUGGGAUUAGCUUGUAGGUGGGGUAACGGCUCACCAAGGCGACGAUCCCUAGCUUGUCUGAGAGGCUGACAAGCCACACUGGGACGGAGACACGGCCCAGACUCCUACGGGAGGCAGCAGUGGGGAAUAUUGAACAAUGGGCGCAAGCCUGAUGCAGCCAUGCCGCGUGGAUGAAGAAGGCCUUCGGGUUGUAAAGUACUUUCAGGCGGGAGGCGUUACCCGCAGAAGAAGCACCGGCUAACUCCGUGCCAGCAGCCGCGGUAAUAC